UACGUAGGGUGCGAGCGUUAAUCGGAAUUACUGGGCGUAAAGCGUGCGCAGGCGGUUCGUUGUGUCGGCGGUGAAAGCCCCGGGCUUAACCUGGGAAUGGCCGUUGAAACUGGCGAACUGGAGUGUGGCAGAGGGGGGUGGAAUUCCGCGUGUAGCAGUGAAAUGCGCAGAUAUCAGGAGGAACACCGGUGGCGAAGGCGGAUCUCUGGGCCAUUACUGACGCUGAGGAGCGAAAGCGUGGGGAGCGAACAGG
rnacentral:rRNA from 1 species